UGUCAGAUGCCAUGGGCACUUUGAGUUCUUCCAGAUGCAGCUCCCGCUCAGGAGGAGGAAAAUCAAAGAGCUGCUGUGUGUGCCGUCUGCGUCAUGCACAAGAUUCAGCAUUUCGUAUACAAACGCUGGUUGUAUAAAUACAGCGAUGUGUGGUCCAUGCUAGCAGAGUAAGACUUAUAAUUUCUUGCCCAGGAGCCUCGAGUUAAUAGGGUUAUUAUGCCUCGAGGCGUAGCCGCACGAGGGAUAACGGUAAAGCUGACUGUGUGUGUGUGUGUGUGUGUGUGUCUGUGUGUCUGUUCCAGCUGUAACUGCUCAACGGUUGCAAUGCGACGAAAACUAACAGCUUCUAUAGGCUUCUAGCCACGUUCUCUUGGAUUUUGAUUCGUGGAUUAGCAAACUAAAGCUUCUUUCUCGAGUUAUGGCUAGUUUGACUCACAUUGAAGGCUGUUGCAGUCUCUUCAGAAUCUUUCAUAGCAUCAUCUGUCCGCACAUACUUUCUAUUCAACAUAUGAGUUAGCCUUGCACUAAAGCGCUAGCUUUUUGUUAGCUACAAGACUCAGAAAAUAUCUGUUAAAACAGCUAGCUAGCAGUAGCCAUUGAUCUGUUUGGACACACCCUUUAUUAUUCCUGUGGAUGUAAUGCGCAUGCGCGCUCAUUCCCCACGUGUGAGAAACCAAGAUCCAGAUCCAGAUCCUCCUGGCAGAAUCAUCUUUGUCUUGAGGGCCUGGUCUGAUAUUAUAUACACUGAACUACAGAUCCUGGAAGAAUCAAUUUUCUUCUUUCUUGAGGUCCUGGUAAGCCACAUAAUACAAUAAAUAACAACAAUAGAUGCAUGUAAAUAAGUCUUUUCUUCUCAGUGACUUUAUAUAGGUAAGCUAACUUUAAUAUAAAAUUCAUUAUAGAAACUAAUAUAACACUCUAAUACUUUUGAGCGAAAGCAAAAACAUGGCGAGAGGCAUUAGCACAGCGCCAGCUUGAACACUAGUCUUAAUAGGGUUAUCGUGAACGAGUGCUUGUAGAUUCUGUCCGUAAAAACUACUCAUCUCGCCCACCACGAGAUUUCGACUUCGACUAUGAGUUGAGGAGGUUGAGGAUUCUGGAGAUCGGCCUGCUGAGCUGUUUUUUUUCCCCUUUUCGGCUGCAAUUACAAACCAAAUUAUGGCUGGCUCACACGGUUCAUCUUGAUGUUUGCAUUUGUUCCCAUCAUUGACGCUGUAGCUGUGAGCAAUGGCCAAAAAAUGAACUCUGGUGAAUGCAUUAGCAUCAGCGUGAGCAUAACUAGUUUUACCAACGAUGGGCUGAAAAGCGUCGAUUGAAAAUGUUGUAUUAGCUUGCGCUUGCCUAGUUGCAGCUGAAAGCUUGCUCAGAGACAUUGCAGCGAAAACUGUGUGUGGGUUUUAAUAGGGUUUUUCAAUAGCAGCAUAAUAUACUAUGAUUCGCUUACUUCACUGAUUUCACUUUUGUGGGGUUGAGGCUUCGAGAGGAGGAGCUGGUUAGCACGUUGAGAGGAGGGGCUGGUUUGCACUGUGAGAGGAGAACUGGUUUGCACUGUGAGAGGAGGGGCUGGUUUGCACUGUGAAUGGAGCGACAGGUUCCCACUGUAGCUGGUAGAGGAGGGGCUAGUUUGCACUGUGACAGGAUUUGCACUUGAGAGAAAAAUAUUCUUUAAAGAGUUUUGAAAAUUAGGCUUGCAUGGUACAUUGGUUUUACCUAGUACUCACUGACCAAUGGGAUACCCGACCAAUGGGAUACCCGCUUGAACGCAAAUAUUGAAUGGAUAGAAGCUAGCUGUAACCAAGCAGUAUACAAAGAAACUGGGGCCUGAGGGAAAACUGGGUCUUGGUAACAGUAAGAAUGCUGCAUAUCCUUCGAUACUACAUUGCUGUAAUAAGCCAGUUUAUUUGAAGUAAGUACAUUAUUUAUACUCACUCAAGUAGUAUCUACAGCUAUACGACUACACAACUCGUCAUUCAUUAAAAUAUAAUCAUCGAAUGCAUAACAAUAACACUAUACAUGCAGGAAUCGUCAUCUCAUCCAGUACACCAACAAAGGAACCAGCAUGUUUUAGUGGUGUGUGGAACGACACACUAUCACAGUUCGUUCGAGACCAAGUCUGCCGUACCAAUACACAGUGAAAUAUCGACAAGGGAAAAGCAACGGGAAGGCAGACGAACAAGUUUAUUGCAGAAGAGGUGGGUAGGAGUGUGAAAGACUAUGUUUCUUAGUUGGUUAUUGUUUGUGCUUUUGUUCGUUAUUGUAUAGGGUUACUGUUCAUGUAUGCCAGGCAAUGAUUACAGCUGUUAUAGUGUUAAAUAGACUACAUUCACUUAUUUGGUAUGUUGUGCAAUACUGUACACCCAAGGUGUUAAUCCCUCUCUCCUGCCCUGUAAGAUCCCGUCAAACCAGUUUUAGAACCUGACAAACAGGAAGUGUUCAGGAGUGUAUAAAAGGACAGUGUGUUAGAUUUUGAGUUUUAGUUGUUUUUGUGAUGUUAAAGUUUAUGCGAUGUUGUGGAAUUGAUGUUGUUAAAUGAAGAUUGUUGAAUUGAAUUGUGAGAACUUAAUAGUCUUUUGGUGGCAGCGGUGGGAUCCUAUUGAGCUAGACGAGCUGGAGGAAGCAAUUGGUGAAACUCAACCCUCACUGUAAAGGACUGAACAGUUUAUGAGUACACGAGUCUACAACACAUCUAUGGCACAGGACGAUGGCAGCAUGGAGCCAGCAUGGAGCGGAUUCUACAGAUGCUACUGGAAGAACGACAGUCGCGAGAAUGCUAGACGCGAUGCCGAACGAGAGACUGCACAUCAGCUGCAGAUAAGGGAGCAGAUGGAAGCCAUGCGGGGCUGGAUGGAGCAUAGUGGUGCUCGAGAACAGGAGCGAGCUGGCCGAGCACGGUUGUCGAAGUUAUCGGAUUCGGAAGACAUCGAGGCUGGUCUUCAAGCUUGCCGAGGCGUAUGCAGCAGUUGACGAGUUAAAGAGGCGAUUCUGAGACGGUACGAUGUGAGCGAAGAGAGUUAUCGCAGACGAUUUCAAGUGACCCGAAAAAGCAAGAAUGAGACUUUUCGAGAGCUAGCAGUGACGCUAGCAAAGAAGGCCGGAUGCUGUCGGAGAAGAAGCCCAAGUGUGGAAACGAAGCUGGAUGCCUGGCAGAUGAUUAUGUGCAGGCGAGAUGGUGUGUGGAUCGGGGAUGGACAAAGGAGCAGACUGGAGAACCGAGAAAAUGUCACAAGUGUGGAAAGCCUGGACAUUUCGCUAGGGUGUGCUCAGGAAACUUCAGAGAGGCUGAAUUCGGACAAGAAGGAGAGCCCUAGGUUUGAACCCAAAAAGGUAAAAUGUUUUAAUUGUGGUGUAUUGGGGAUUGUGGUGUAUUGGGGCUUCCAGGUGCCCAGAGAAAGUUGUGCCGAUCAGUAGGUUUGGACUGGUAGAAGGUCAAACGGUGGCAGAUAUUGUGUUGGAUACUGGGUGCUUUAGAACGAUGGUGCAUAAGAACCUGGUAGAUAAGACGAAGUAUCUGGAAGGAGAAGCAGUAACAAUACGAUGCAUUAUACAAACGGCCCCUUGGCAGCAGUGUUGCCUACAUCAGUGUUGCUGGGAACGGAUGUUGUUGCAGGAAAACCCAAGUAUCAGACAUACAGCUGCAGUGUAUGUGGUGCGAACACGUGGUCAGACCAGACAGGAGGAAGCCGAAGAUGCUAUGAAGAAAAAGAGAGAACCAAAAUGGUGGAGACGACAGCUGAAACGCAAUUGGUUGGUAGUGAAUUCGAUGACGAUUUGUUUGAAGAGAAUAAACCCUACUUGAGCCGGAGUCAGAAGAGAACAGAGGAUAGAACAUGGCCUAGUGCGUGCUCAAGAUCCCCCACUAAUCAAGAUCCCCCACUAAACAAAAGUGAGGUACGUAGUAUUGUUGGACAGUAAAUUUACAGCAAACUGACGACACUCUGAAGCAUGUACGAGCUGGAAUGACUGAUACUGGGUUCUUAGAACGAGACGGAUUGAUUUAUAGACGAUGGGUGCCAGCUAAGCGAGAGGCCGAGGAGGUGUUGCCAAAGGACUAUCGUCAUAAUGUUUUACAUAUUGCACACACUAGGUGGACACCUUGGAAAGAAGAAAACAGCCAGGAGAGUUAUGGACAGGUUCUAUUGACCAACUUUGUUUGGUGACGUUAAAGACUAUUGCCGUAGCUGUGCCAGAAGUGUACCCGGAGGCGAGGUGCCACUCCCCUGUAUCUCCACCCCGUUUGAACGAAUUGCCUUGGACAUCAUUGGCCCACUGCCAAGGAACCGCUCAGGAAACCGGUACGUCCUUGUGAUAUGUGAUUAUGGAACUAGAUACCCAGAAGCGAAAUUGAUCGAUGCGGAGCACGUGCUAGUGAAGCCUCCCGAAAGAGAUCCUCACCGAUCAGGGGACCAACUUCACCUCACAGAUGUUGGCCGAACUGCUUGGAGUAAAAGCUAGCCCCCAAACAUUCGAACAGACACUGAAAGAGAUGCUCAGAAAAUCAGCAGCAGAGGAUGGUAAGGAUUGGGACAAGCUAAUCCCAUAUGUUUUGUUUGCAUACAGAGAAGUCCCACAAGAAAGUACAGGAUACUCCCCAUUUGAGCUGCUCUAUGGCCGUGAUGUCAGAGGACUGUAUUGAAGGAGGCUGAUGAAAGUAUUUCCACCAUGUUCUGCUAAUGCGAGAAAGAAUGGCUGCACAAAAGUCUCAGAAGCGUUACUAUGAUCGAGGCACCAGAGAGAGAACAGGUCAGAGGCGGAUCUAGACAUUAGAAAAGGGUGGUUCCUAAAAGCAAUUGGUAAAAGGAUAAUGAGCCCAGCAGCGCAAAAAUUGGACCACGCCCACUUCCGGUAUACCCUCCGCCCAUUUCCGGUGUCGUUUCCUGUCACCUGAGUGCUAGGCCAAGCUGCUAGGGAGGUCUAUUAUAGUACCGUAGUCUAGCUAUAGCUAUGGCUCCAGUGCAGUGAUAGCAUCCUGUGACUCUGAACCUACAAUUGAAGUUGUUUUUAUUUAUAAGUUUUGUUGUUUAUUUAUAUGAUUUGGAUUUUUAUUUAUGUGAAACCGUACCUGCUCUACUCUUUUUGAGAAUGGUUCCUGUUACUCAUUGUUGUAUAAUAAGUAAGUCUGGUUAAACAUAAUUACCACAAUCAAAGCCAUCUUGUAUCCAAUUAAUUACUGCUUACUAUGCAAUUUUUGCAACGCGAUCAGUUGAGAAAGAGUAAAGAAGCUGCCACUGCUUUUAGCUAAGUUCUGUUCCUUCUAGAGUGGACUACAUGCAGAUUGCUAAAAAUCAAUUUUAAUAUUUUGAGCAAAAGGGGGGUUCCUUUGCUCCCUUGGAUCUCCCCCUGGAUCUACCUCUGCAGGUCCUCGUGCUACUUCCGACCACAAGCUCAAGGGCAAAGUGAACUAUUUGGUAAACCUACACGAUCGGCGUAAAAGCAAACGAGUAUUCCACGGGCUAACAAGCACUAACUACUUUGUUGAAGAGGCGACCGAUGACACUGAAGGGUGAAGAGUUAAGUUCAGAACAAAAAGAAAAGUUGAAAGAAGUUCUUGACACCUACGCAGAUGUGUUAACGGCCACUCCUGGAUGUACCAAUCUGGCGUCGCACACUAUUACAACGGGACUCCUACAACUAAACUACCACCCUAUCGACUACCGCAGGCUUAUCGAGCAGCCGUAAAACAAGAGCUGCUAGAUCAUGGAAUUAUCGAACCGUCAUCCAGCGACUGGGCAUCACCGAUAGUUUUGGUUGGAAAGGACUAUCGAAAUGUGUCGAAUAUGGAUGCAGGAUAAUCUAGGAGAGGCCAAGUUUAUCAGUACCCUGGACUUGUCACGUGGCUAUUGGCAAGUACCUGUGGAAACCGGAGGCACAGGCAAAGACAGCGUUUACCACACCCUUUGGUUUGUUUCAGUUUCGGAGGAUGCCAUUUGGCCGCUCCCAGCCACGUUCCAGCGGAUGGUCGACAAACGGUCUGCAGCAUUGUGCAAAUGCUUACUUGGAUGACAUUGUGAUAUACAGUGGAACCUGGCAGGAUCACCUGGCCAUUGUACUGGAUCGAAUUCGAGCUGCUGGCCUCACUGUAAAGCCCAAAAAAUGCCAAUUUGGAACAAAUCAGUGUGUAUAUUUGGGGUUUGUUGUGGGCAAUGGAACAGUGCAACUUGAACACCCGAAGAUAGAUGCAAUUGAAAACUUUGAAAAGCCGAAAACAUACCUCGGAAUGACGGGAUAUUAUCGUAAAUUUAUUCCUGAUUAUUCUACGGUCGCUUGUUCCCUUACAGAUUUAACACGAGGAAAAGCUCCCUCUCAGGUGAAAUGGACCGCAGACUGAAACAGCAUUUCAACACCUUAAAAAAUGCUUGUGCUCAAAACCAAUACUCCGGAGUCCAGACUUUAGCCGUGAAUUCAUCUUACAAACUGAUGCGUCAGACAGAGGGGUUGGAGCAGUACUUAGCCAGAAGGAUGAUGAGGGUAACGAACACCCUACUGCUUGCAAACUGUUGGAGAAAAAUACUCGACUAUAGAGAAAGAAUGUUUGGUGAUUAAAUUGGGAGUUGGUGCCUACUUACUAGGUGCCUACUUACUAGGCCGACCCUUUACAAUUCAGACUGACCAUCGUUCCCUAGAAUGGUUGGACCGGAUCAAAGAGAACAAUGCGAGAUUAACACGAUGGAGCUUGUUCCUGAGUAGUUGUACUUAAAUGUAAAUAUCUUAUGAUUGGAACAUUUCUAAGAAAAUCCGAAGGAAUAAGCUACAAAAUACACAGUGAAAUAUCGACAAGGGAAAAGCAACGGGAAUGCAGACGCUCUUUCCCGAGGGCCGUAAACAAGUUUAUUGCAGGAGAGGUGGGUAGGAGUGUGAAAGACUAUGUUUGUGCUUUUGUUCGUUAUUGUAUAGGGUUACUGUUCAUGUAUGCCAGGCAAUGAUUAUAGCUGUUAUAGUGUUAAAUAGACUACAUUCACUUAUUUGGUAUGUUGUGCAAUAGUAUACGACUGUACACCCAAGGUCCUCUCUCCUGCCCUGUACUCUCCUGCCCUGUAAGAUCCCGUCAAACCAGUUUUAGAACCUGACAAACAGGAAGUGUUCAGGAGUGUAUAAAAGGACAGUGUGUUAGAUUUUGAGUUUUAGUUGUUUUUGUGAUGUUAAAGUUUAUGCGAUGUUGUGGAAUUGAUGUUGUUAAAUGAAAUUGAAUUGGGAGAACUUAAUAGUCUAGAAGUGGAUCUUUUACAUUGGCUGAUGCUAACAAAUCAAGCUUCCCUGAGUUGUUACGGUUAGCUUAUGUGAUGUUCGU